GCGCCUUGGUUCUUCCUCGCAGAAUGGAACGGAAGAAAGAGGGGGAAACGAAACCUGUUCUGCUCUCUUCUUUCAGCGAGAUCGAAGAAGGUGGGAGAUCUACUCUGUUUCUCUUGAACAGAGGAGGGGUCUCCCUCUUCCUCUUCUAAUCGGGAAAAAAGGAGCCCGAACAGAGGAGAUCUGCUCUUCCAGCGAGAUCUGAGAAGGAAGAAGAGAGGUUCUCUGCACCGCCCCCUUUCACCUGCUUCUCAUCGGGGAAAAGGGGCUCGGAGGCUGAUUCCUUCCAGCGGAGGUGAGGGACGCUCUGCUCUUUCAAGAUCGAGAUCGGUUCUUGAAACUGAAACGGGAACAGAGUGGGAGAAUUCUGUUCUUCGCAGAAAGGAACAGAACAGAGGAAAAUUUUCAGUUCUUCUUU
rnacentral:lncRNA from 1 species